rnacentral:sRNA from 1 species
UUUUCAGUAACUACGUAACUCUUCAGAUGCAAACAAAAAAAUCUCUGUUCAGUGUUUAAUAUUAGUUAACUUUUCAUCCAAAUAAAUAUAUUAAUUGACUAUAAGAAAGAAAUCGUGGAAACCUCUUGGUCUAAUGGUUGACCAAAAGUUCAUUAAUGCUUUUACAUCCAGAAGUCUAAUGUUCCAGUUCCAGCUACUGCGAUUUAUUAGCAAAUUUGCAGAUUAAUGGAAGCACGUAUGCAUGAUAUCUACAACGAAGUACAAUUAUAGUCGUUCGCCAAGAUUUUAUGUAGAGAAGAUAUUGAAGGUAUCCAUCAAGCGCAUGGAGAAAGAGAAGAAGAUAUCGACAUUGAUGGAGGAAUUGUAAUCCUUCUUUUGUCCCCAACACACAUGCCUGUGAAAUUU